CCUUCUUGCAGGUGAAAAAGGAAUCGGCAAAACAACUGGGAAGAAGCUGUGCUACAAAGGCACCACAUUCCAUCGUGUGGUUAAAAACUUCAUGAUUCAGGGUGGGGACUUCAGUGAAGGUAAUGGAAAAGGAGGUGAAUCUAUUUAUGGUGGCUAUUUUAAAGAGAAUGUGGUCUUUUGCAAAAUGAAAAGGUAAGAGACAAAAGCUCAGUAACACAAAUUCAAACUCUGUUCCCUUGUCCCCUCCCUAGUAAAUAUAUAGACAACUGCUAAG